CAUGUUUCCAAGAAUUCCUGCCUAGAACGAUUCCACAAUAAAAUGUCAUUUGUCAACUAUCCAGAAUAAUUUUUAGGACUCACAACAAAAAUACAUAGGAAUUUUAUAUUCCUGUAUUCACAUUCCCAAGUGUCAUUGUUCAUAGUCGGCAUUAUUGUUUAGUGUCAAACCCUUAAAAUUUACACCUGGAAGGGAAGGACAGAUGUCUCAACUAAAAGAAAUUGAGCAUUUUAUAGAAUUUUCCAAUACUUCAGCUCAUCUCAUUUUUUUUCUCUAAAGUUGUAUCUCUCUAAAACUCAAACCUCUUCUUUUCUCCUCCUUCUCUCUAGAAAUUCUUCAUCUCCUUUCAUCUUUUCUUCAACCAGCCACAGUCUAAGAAAUUUUGGGAGUCAAGAGUUUCUUUUCCACCAAUCAAAAAUCAAGCUUAGAGUUGGUAAGUUCAUCCUCUUUUUAGAAAUUCUAUUUUCGGGCACAUGCAAGCCAAGUUUCUGGUUGCAUGUGUUCAUCCGCUUCUUCUUCUUAGUUCUGAUCACUUUUCUAGUAAUUUGGGUUGGUCUUUCCUCACCAAUCGGUGAAAUAUAGGUGUUCUUGGGAUUUUCUAGGGAGGAAGCAAAGUCUGGAAAAGAAUAAUCGUUGUUCGGUUCGGUCAAGAGGAAAAAUGUUGAUGAGGUACAGGAAGAAACAGCCCCAAUGCUAUUGCCAACUUGGUUGACUCAUGGACUUCAUUCACUUCCUAGCACCAUUGUCAAACUUGUGGUUGAUCAUUUGAUUAGUAGUGUUGUAAAACUGAUUGAACUGUUUUGCAUUAUCUUUGUGAUCAUCUUCAUCACAUUUGAUGAUAUAAUAGUCAU
rnacentral:sRNA from 1 species